AUUGAACGCUGGCGGAAUGCUUUACACAUGCAAGUCGAGCGGCAGCGCGGGGCAACCUGGCGGCGAGCGGCGAACGGGUGAGUAAUGCAUCGGAACGUGUCCAUGUCGUGGGGGAUAGCCCGGCGAAAGCCGGAUUAAUACCGCAUACGCCCGAGAGGGGAAAGUGGGGGACCGCAAGGCCUCACGCGAUUGGGUCGGCCGAUGUCCGGUUAGCUAGUUGGCGGGGUAAAGGCCCACCAAGGCGAUGAGCGGUAGCUGGUCUGAGAGGAUGAUCAGCCACACUGGGACUGAGACACGGCCCAGACUCCUACGGGAGGCAGCAGUGGGGAAUUUUGGACAAUGGGGGCAACCCUGAUCCAGCCAUUCCGCGUGAGUGAAGAAGGCCUUCGGGUUGUAAAGCUCUUUUGUCCGGAACGAAACGGAUGACGUGAAUAUCGUCGUCUACUGACGGUACCGGAAGAAUAAGCACCGGCUAACUACGUGCCAGCAGCCGCGGUAA
rnacentral:rRNA from 1 species